AGCAUUUGAGUUUCAGAGGCCAUGAAUUGAUAAAUUGCAAGUUUGUGCCCCAUAGCUGCACAGACUGCCUGAAGUUACAUUUAGAGACUGAAAUCACUGCACCUUAAAAACAAAAGAUUGAGCUGCACUGUAUUCCUAAUGUUUCAUCAUUACUAACAGGAUAUUCCUCAUGACAUUGCUGUCUGGUUACAUACAGUGAACUAGACAAAUUAAGUGUAUACCUUGAUGAGUAUACAUGUGACAACACCCAACCCAAGGUACAGAAUAUUUAUAAUACCUAAGAAGAAUCCAUUGUAUGUGCCCCUUGAAGGUGAAAUUUUCCAAAGUUUUAACAAAAGAUCUUUGACCAUCAGUCUGUGACCUGCCCCUUCUCUUUACAUGCAGCCGCUCUCUGCUCCCUGCCCCAAUGAACAUCUGCACUAGGCCCAAGCCUUGGAGUAAUUUACCUGAAGAGUGACACCAUUGAUUUUGAAACUACUGUAAUGGGAUGGUGUUUUACAGACUUCUAUGUUACUGGAAAACGCUAAACCUGGGAGACUAACAUCCCUCUUAGGCUUCA
rnacentral:sRNA from 1 species